UGCUUGCUUGUGAAAUUGUUAGCAUGUGCUAUGGAAAGUCAAAAACAUUACAGAAGUUUGGUUAUUUUGGUUUGGCAUCUUUCGAAUGUUCUUACUUUAUCUUGUUUUUCCUUGUUAGGCUAAACUGCCCAUGUCAGAAAUAAAAGCUAUUAUCAACAAGUUUAGGUCCCACCAUCUUUCUGAGCUUACCGAGCUCUCUGAAGCAAGUGGAGGCUCUCUCGGUUAUGGAUACUCUCGGAUCAUGAGUAAAACCAAAUCUCAACCCUUUGAUUCUUCAGAUGAUAAUCAAAUCACUGAAGGAACACUGGUAAUAUAACCCAUCACCCGAAGAUAAGAACUGACAUAAUAAUAUUAAAAAACAGAUCACAAAGAACUGUACAGCGGUUUACUUGAACCCUUUGGUAUAAAUUGUAUAGAAAUAUAGUUGAAUUAGUGGCAGUAGCAAACGCAUUUGUUGAUUAGUCACAUGGACAUUUUUGUUCUAAUAAUGCCCCCUGCGUGAAAGGGGCGACUGUUCUUUUUCUUUCUUCAAUUGUAUUUUGAUCUGAUAAAUUUUGGUA